UCCCAAGCUGGUCCUAGUAAGCAGAAGCUUUCAAAGUAAGAAAAGGCAAAGAUCAAACAUGGAGUGUUGUCAAUAAAAUUGGUCUUAGGAUAAAUUUUGAGGUAAAUCCUCAAAGUCAAGUAUACCUGGCUUUUGCUCAACAUAAUAUAUUGGAAUUGAUCCAUGUUGCAUGUUUCUGUAGUUUGAUCCUUUUUGUGCUGAACAGUAUUCUAUACUAUGACUAUACCAACAUUUAUUUUAUCCAUCUGUUAAGACCAUUUUCUGAUUUUGAGAUGUCAGAAAGAUUUAAGGGUUUCUCUCCUAGACCCUCUUCAUUCCACAAGAGAGAUUCUAAGGAUCUUAAGGGCACUGUCAGUCCUGGGGGUAGUUUGUUAUGUAGCAAUAUGUAAUAGAAAUAUCAACUUUAAAACGUUUGCCAAUCUUACAUGUACAAGGUGUGACAUCUCAGUAGGGCUUCUUUUAUGUGCAUUUCUCUGGCUACUAUGAGUUUGAAAAGCUUUAUUUGAAUCCCUAUGAAUCCCUCAUGGCCCAGGUAAAUUGGAUGACAAGGUUUGGAAGGAGGAGAGAAAAAUAUAUUUCUCUGAAUCAUCCAGGAGAAAUCACCUGUAUGGGAUAAACUAUGGUGCAGAUACUGCUGAGAGAAAUUUCAAGGAAGAAAAUAAACCGAGAAUGUUAAGUUGCAGGCUGGAGUUCUUCCACUGGACUGUGGUAACACCAUAGCUGCUUUCAGAAGAAUCGCCUGGCACAUUACAGCUUUUCUCUCUUUGAUUCUGGGCAAAUUGGCAUCUGGAUUUUUAGAAAUUACAAUCCGCAUGGUCAAAUGUGUGAUUCUGACAUUGCUCCCGUCAUCUGUAGCAGAAGUGGCCGAAGCAUCAAAGAGCCCACGUCAGGAAUCGAGCAGGAAACCACUGGAUUAGAACCCUCUAAUGGGAAGAGAAAGGCUGAAAUCAUUUAUCCUUCUGUUGAGGCGGAGACAGCUGGACGAUGGCAGAGGGCUUCAGUACACCCUCCAGCACCCGUGGGUUGGAAGUUUUCACAGUUUCAAUUACCCCAAAGAAGAUGAUCGUCCCAUAGGACAUGAUGACUACGCCAUUCCCCUCCCUCAACUCAUCACGCUGGCAUUUUUCAUCCUACGUCAUCACAGGAAGGUGUGGACAUAGGCACCUGAGGUGUCCAGCAUUGAACUCAGAAAGCUUGUUGGUGAAAUUUGUCCUGAUGAUAGAGGCAGAGACACCUGGGAUGUUAGCAGCGCAGAUGACAGAUGGCCUGAAAACCAGCACCCAUUCAUCACUGGCAGACAGCAACUUUCAAAUCAGAAAUUGGAUCAUUUCUGAGUUUUAAUACAUAGCAGCUGGAGAGCAAAAUUGAGGAAAGCUGGAAGUCUCCCUGACUUACUCCUCCUCAGAGGAGCUGAAAACUUAUGUUCAACAUGAAAACCUGCACAUGCUGUUCACAGCAAUUUAUUCAUAAUUGCCAAAUCUCAGAAGCAACUUCAACAGGUGAAUGGAUAAAUAGACGGUGGUAUGUGUAGACACUGGAAUACUAUUCAGCACUAAAAAGGAAUGAGCUGUCAAGCCAUAAAAAGACAUGGAGGAAACUUAAAUGCAUACUACUAAGUAAAAGAAGGCUACUGAUUCCAACUUCAUGACAUUCUGGAAAAGGCAAAAUCAUGUAAACAGUUAAAAGAUCAAUGGUUUCCAGAAGUUGGGGGAAGGGAAAUGAAGCAGAAGGGAUUUAGGGGGCAGUAAAUAUACUCAGUAAUGAUGCUGUGACACUACUAUAUGCUAUUAUAUAUUUGUAUAAUGUAUAGAGUGUACAACACCAAGAGUGAAGCCUAAGGUAAACUGUGGACUUUAGGUGAUGGUGUUGUGUCAGUGUAGGUUCAUCAACUGUAGUGAACUUCAGCAUGUGGGGGGGAUGCUGAUAACGUGGGAGGCUCUGCAUGUGUUGGGGAGGGGCCAUAUGGGGAAUCUCUACUUUCCCCUCAUUUUUGCUCUAAACCAAAAACUGCUCU